rnacentral:rRNA from 1 species
GACGUAGGGCGCGAGCGUUGUCCGGAUUUAUUGGGCGUAAAGAGCUCGUAGGCGGCUUGUCGCGUCGACUGUGAAACCCGACGGCUCAACUGCGGGCCUGCAGCCGAUACGGGCAGGCUAGAGUUCGGUAGGGGAGACUGGAAUUCCUGGUGUAGCGGUGAAAUGCGCAGAUAUCGGGAAGAACACCCGUGGCGAAGGCGGCUCUCUGGAACGCAACUGACGCUGAGACGCGAAAGCCAGGGGAGCAAAGCGGG